UUCAUGAUGUCCUCAGCCUUUCUCCACAGA
rnacentral:piRNA from 1 species